rnacentral:rRNA from 1 species
UACGUAGGGAGCAAGCGUUGUCCGGAAUCAUUGGGCGUAAAGCGCGCGUAGGUGGCCAUGUAAGUCCGCUGUGAAAGUCAAAGGCUCAACCUUUGAAAGCCGGUGGAUACUGCAUGGCUAGAGUACGGAAGAGGCGAGUGGAAUUCCUGGUGUAGCGGUGAAAUGCGCAGAUAUCAGGAGGAACACCGAUGGCGAAGGCGGGUCUCUGGACAGUUCCUGACACUGAGACACGGAAGGCCAGGGGAGCAAACGGG